UACAGAGGGCGCGAGCGUUGUCCGGAAUCACUGGGCGUAAAGCGCACGUAGGCGGAUCGCUAAGUCAGGGGUGAAAUCCUGGAGCUCAACUCCAGAACUGCCUUUGAUACUGGCAAUCUCGAGUCCGGGAGAGGUGAGUGGAACUGCGAGUGUAGAGGUGAAAUUCGUAGAUAUUCGCAAGAACACCAGUGGCGAAGGCGGCUCACUGGCCCGGUACUGACGCUGAGGUGCGAAAGCGUGGGGAGCAAACAGG
rnacentral:rRNA from 1 species